GAUGAACGCUGGCGGCGUGCCUAAUACAUGCAAGUCGAGCGAACGGACGAGAAGCUUGCUUCUCUGAUGUUAGCGGCGGACGGGUGAGUAACACGUGUAUAACCUACCUAUAAGACUGGGAUAACUUCGGGAAACCGGAGCUAAUACCGGAUGAUAUUUUGAACCGCAUGGUUCAAAAGUGAAAGACGGUCUUGCUGUCACUUAUAGAUGGAUCCGCGCUGCAUUAGCUAGUUGGUAAGUUAACGGCUUACCAAGGCAACGAUGCAUAGCCGACCUGAGAGGGUGAUCGGCCACACUGGAACUGAGACACGGUCCAGACUCCUACGGGAGGCAGCAGUAGGGAAUCUUCCGCAAUGGGCGAAAGCCUGACGGAGCAACGCCGCGUGAGUGAUGAAGGUCUUCGGAUCGUAAAACUCUGUUAUUAGGGAAGAACAUAUGUGUAAGUAACUGUGCACAUCUUGACGGUACCUAAUAAGAAAGCAACGGCUAACUACGUG
rnacentral:rRNA from 1 species